AGAGUUUGAUCCUGGCUCAGGAUGAACGCUGGCGGCGUGCUUAACACAUGCAAGUCGAACGAAGCACUUUAUUUGAUUUCCUUCGGGACUGAUUAUUUUGUGACUGAGUGGCGGACGGGUGAGUAACGCGUGGGUAACCUGCCUUGUACAGGGGGAUAACAGUUGGAAACGGCUGCUAAUACCGCAUAAGCGCACAGCAUCGCAUGAUGCAGUGUGAAAAACUCCGGUGGUAUAAGAUGGACCCGCGUUGGAUUAGCUAGUUGGUGGGGUAACGGCCCACCAAGGCGACGAUCCAUAGCCGGCCUGAGAGGGUGAACGGCCACAUUGGGACUGAGACACGGCCCAGACUCCUACGGGAGGCAGCAGUGGGGAAUAUUGCACAAUGGGGGAAACCCUGAUGCAGCGACGCCGCGUGGAGGAAGAAGGUCUUCGGAUUGUAAACUCCUGUUGUUGGGGAAGAUAAUGACGGUACCCAACAAGGAAGUGACGGCUAACUACGUGCCAGCAGCCGCGGUAAAACGUAGGUCACAAGCGUUGUCCGGAAUUACUGGGUGUAAAGGGAGCGCAGGCGGGAAGACAAGUUGGAAGUGAAAUCUAUGGGCUCAACCCAUAAACUGCUUUCAAAACUGUUUUUCUUGAGUAGUGCAGAGGUAGGCGGAAUUCCCGGUGUAGCGGUGGAAUGCGUAGAUAUCGGGAGGAACACCAGUGGCGAAGGCGGCCUACUGGGCACCAACUGACGCUGAGGCUCGAAAGUGUGGGUAGCAAACAGGAUUAGAUACCCUGGUAGUCCACACCGUAAACGAUGAUUACUAGGUGUUGGAGGAUUGACCCCUUCAGUGCCGCAGUUAACACAAUAAGUAAUCCACCUGGGGAGUACGACCGCAAGGUUGAAACUCAAAGGAAUUGACGGGGGCCCGCACAAGCAGUGGAGUAUGUGGUUUAAUUCGAAGCAACGCGAAGAACCUUACCAGGGCUUGACAUCCUACUAACGAACCAGAGAUGGAUUAGGUGCCCUUCGGGGAAAGUAGAGACAGGUGGUGCAUGGUUGUCGUCAGCUCGUGUCGUGAGAUGUUGGGUUAAGUC
rnacentral:rRNA from 1 species